rnacentral:rRNA from 3 species
CUACGGUGCUGAAGCAACAAAUGCCCUGCUUCCAGGAAAAGCCUCUAAGCCUCAGGUAACAUCAGAUCGUACCCGAAACCGACACAGGUGGUCAGGUAGAGAAUACCAAGGCGCUUGAGAGAACCCGGGUGAAGGAACUAGGCAAAAUGGUGCCGUAACUUCGGGAGAAGGCACGCUGACACGUAGGUGAAGCGGUUUACCCGUGGAGCUGAAGUCAGUCGAAGAUACCAGCUGGCUGCAACUGUUUAUUAAAAACACAGCACUGUGCAAACACGAAAGUGGACGUAUACGGUGUGACGCCUGCCCGGUGCCGGAAGGUUAAUUGAUGGGGUCAGCGCAAGCGAAGCUCCUGAUCGAAGCCCCGGUAAACGGCGGCCGUAACUAUAACGGUCCUAAGGUAGCGAAAUUCCUUGUCGGGUAAGUUCCGACCUGCACGAAUGGCGUAAUGAUGGCCAGGCUGUCUCCACCCGGGACUCAGUGAAAUUGAACUCGCUGUGAAGAUGCAGUGUACCCGCGGCAAGACGGAAAGACCCCGUGAACCUUUACUAUAGCUUGACACUGAACACUGGUCCUUGAUGUGCAGGAUAGGUGGGAGGCUUUGAAGUGUGGACGCCAGUCUGCAUGGAGCCGUCCUUGAAAUACCACCCUUUAAUGGCUGGUGUUCUAACGUAGACCCGUGAACCGGGUUGCGGACAGUGUCUGGUGGGUAGUUUGACUGGGGCGGUCUCCUCCUAAAGCGUAACGGAGGAGCACGAAGGUUGGCUAAUCCUGGUCGGACAUCAGGAGGUUAGUGCAAUGGCAUAAGCCAGCUUGACUGCGAGCGUGACGGCGCGAGCAGGUGCGAAAGCAGGUCAUAGUGAUCCGGUGGUUCUGAAUGGAAGGGCCAUCGCUCAACGGAUAAAAGGUACUCCGGGGAUAACAGGCUGAUACCGCCCAAGAGUUCAUAUCGACGGCGGUGUUUGGCACCUCGAUGUCGGCUCAUCACAUCCUGGGGCUGAAGUAGGUCCCAAGGGUAUGGCUGUUCGCCAUUUAAAGUGGUACGCGAGCUGGGUUUAGAACGUCGUGAGACAGUUCGGUCCCUAUCUGCCGUGGGCGCUGGAGAACUGAGGGGGGCUGCUCCUAGUACGAGAGGACCGGAGUGGACGCAUCACUGGUGUUCGGGUUGUCAUGCCAAUGGCACUG